rnacentral:lncRNA from 1 species
GGCGCCCACCGUAAGCCUCCCGGGCCUUGUGAACCUGCAAACCCAAGUCUGAGAGACGAUCCGCCUUCAGCGCUUUCCAGCUUGGCAGAGAGGCUUUCCCGGCGGGGAUCUUUGGUUGGCGCUGGCGAUGCGCGGGGAAGAAAGGCGAGGAGCGGCGUCCAGGCUGGGUGAUGUCCCAGCACGAGUAGGCGGGAUGCGCUCGCUUGGUCCUCCGGGCGCCCGGUCCCUGCCCGCGUCGCGCGCCCACCCCUGGGGACGAGAAGGCGGCCGCCUGAGGACCCCCGCCCGCGACCUCCGCGAGUCUGGAGCGCAGAGGACAGGGUCUGGCUGCUCUUUGGCCUUGGAUGGAAAGUGGGGAAUUGGGUGGGGGGCUGCGGACCCCUUAACGUGGAUUACUUGGUGUGUAUCAGCUGGGCUCAGAAGACCCACGACCUCUUCUCCAUCCGUGGAUUGAUUUGUUCUGCUUAACAGCUGGGUCGCCAAGCUGGAGGUGGAAUCAGAGGUUUCUGGCUGACUCGGUGGGUGCUUUGAACCAGGAAAGGACAAGAAAGAGGUGCCACCUCCUGAGUCCUGGUUCCUGCGGCUCCGUCGAAUCUGCAGUGAAGGCCUUUGGGAAGCGUGGGUUAUGUGGGUCCAGGGGUCCCAUCCUCCCGUGGAGGCCCUUGACCUGAGGAUCACUAACUCACACCCCACCGACUUCCGGCCCCCAACAAGGGCAGUGUUCCUCUUGCUCCAUUCUGCUCUGAAGUCCCCCAAACCGCUUCCUGGGGCUGCUUAGUGAAAUACAAGGCUCAUCUCUGAGGACCUCUACAGGGCUGGAUGGGAAGGACUGAUCCACAUUCCCACCAGGAAGUUUAGCAGAACCCCCGCGUGCCACCUGGACCCCUUGGAAGGACCUGGCUCAGGCUGGACCACCUCUUGAGAGGCAGGAGCUCUGGAUUUGAUCAAGAAUUCUUUGCUGAGCAUGGUGCCUCAUGCCUAUAAUCCCAACACUUUGGGAGGCCAGUGUGGGAGGAUCUCUUGAGCCCAGGAGUUCAAGACUAGCCUGGGCAACACAGAGAGACCCCAUCUCUAAAAUAAUAAUAAUAAUAAAAUAAAAAAUUAGCAGGGCAUGGUGGCAUGUGCCUGUAGUCCCAGCUACCCAGGAGGCUGAGGCAAGAGGAUGGCUGGAGCCUGGGAUGUUGAGGCUGCAAUGAACUGUGAUUACCCCACUGCACUCCAGCCUGGGCAAAAGAGCGAGAGACCCUGUCUCAAAUAAUAAUAAUAAUAAUAAUCUUAUUUUGGAGAAUAAAGAGACCUCUGGAUUUGAGGUGCCAUUUGGGUAGAAAGAAAAGACGUUUACACCGAGAAAUAGUCUGUGUUGCCCUGAAGGAGCAGAGGGAUGCAUCGCUGGAGGUGACCUACAGUUGAAGAAGACUCAUUAUGACAGACCUUGUCCUUCUUCCUUGUGGAAAGUGUUUCCUCUGCUGCUACUGCUCAUGAGACUCUUCCCCCUCCCUGUCCCAGGGAACCAAAGGGCUUUCUACCACACCCUUUCUUGCCCCCCGCCUCCCAUGUCUGCUGUGCCUUUGUACUCAGCAAUUCUUGUUUGCUCCAUUAUCUUCCAGCCGGAUACAGAGUGAAUAGUUAACCACACUUAGGUCAAAUAGGAUCUAAAUUUUUGUUCCUGCUCCGUGUAAAGAGGCCAGUGUUUGUGUGUUGCAAGCAGCCUUGGAAUAGUAACUCUUCUCAUUUGUUUGGGAUCUGGCCACCAAGUUCCAGAAUGAUACACGGAUCAGUGCAGAAGUUCAUCAGGCUCUCGGACCUUAGGGCUGUUGGAGAAGGCUUCAGCAGCAGAACUGAUGGUGAAGGCUCGUGUUCUCCAUCCUCAACUUUCUUUGCUUCGAUCAUACACAAGAAUACAUUUGGAAGGGCAAAAAAUGAACACUGUCGUUCAUUGCAGCCGUGUUUUGUGACACAGAUGCACAGUCUGCUGUGAAGACCUUCUCUCAAGUGGCAUUUGGGAGUCCAUGCCAGAUCAUGGUGCUUCAUGAGAGACUGACAGCUAUCAGGGGUUGUGGCACUUAGUGAGGACUCUCCUCCCCCAGUGUGUGCUGAUGACACAUACACACCUGACAAUAGCUUGAGUCUUCUCUGUUCCUUUUACUCUGUAGCCAACAUACACAUGAUUUAAAACCCUUUCUAAAUAUCUAUCAUGGUUCAUCCUUGUCCAAAUGCAGAGUCAGAGCUAUUUGUACUUCAUUAUUAUUUCCAAGGCGAAUAGUUGGCUUUCUUUUUGCAAAAAUAAUUAAA